GCCUCCGUGGUGUAGCGGUCAACACGUCUGACCCGUCUUGUCAGAAGACGUGGUUUAGAAUCCCAUCGGUGGCG